rnacentral:rRNA from 1 species
UGAGGAAUAUUGGUCAAUGGGCGAGAGCUUGAACCAGCCAAGUAGCGUGCAGGAUGACGGCCCUAUGGGUUGUAAACUGCUUUUAUAAGGGAAUAAAGUGAGUCUCGUGAGAUUUUUUGCAUGUACCUUAUGAAUAAGGACCGGCUAAUUCCGUGCCAGCAGCCGCGGUAAUACGGAAGGUCCGGGCGUUAUCCGGAUUUAUUGGGUUUAAAGGGAGCGUAGGCCGGAGAUUAAGCGUGUUGUGAAAUGUAGAUGCUCAACAUCUGCACUGCAGCGCGAACUGGUUUCCUUGAGUACGCACAAAGUGGGCGGAAUUCGUGGUGUAGCGGUGAAAUGCUUAGAUAUCACGAAGAACUCCGAUUGCGAAGGCAGCUCACUGGAGCGCAACUGACGCUGAAGCUCGAAAGUGCGGGUAUCGAACA